UUGAUCCUGGCUCAGAACAAACGCUGGCGGCGUGGAUAAGACAUGCAAGUCGAACGAGACAAAGUUUGUAGCAAUACAAAUUUUGUUUAGUGGCGCACGGGUGCGUAACACGUGAGCAAUCUGCCGGGAAGUGGGGGAUAGCUCGCCAAAAGGCGAAUUAAUACCGCAUGUGGCCAGGAGGAUCAUUUCUCCAAAGCCAAAGUAGCAAUACGCUUCCUGAUGAGCUCGCGGCCUAUCAGCUAGAUGGCGGGGUAACGGCCCACCAUGGCUAUGACGGGUAGCUGGUCUGAGAGGACGACCAGCCACACUGGAACUGAGACACGGUCCAGACACCUACGGGUGGCAGCAGUCGAGAAUUUUUCACAAUGGGGGAAACCCUGAUGGAGCGACGCCGCGUGGAGGACGAAGGCCUUCGGGUUGUAAACUCCUGUCAUGCGGGAACAAGAAAGUGAUAGUACCGCAAGAGGAAGAGACGGCUAACUCUGUGCCAGCAGCCGCGGUAAUACAGAGGUCUCAAGCGUUGUUCGGAUUCAUUGGGCGUAAAGGGUGCGUAGGUGGCGAUGUAAGUCUGGUGUGAAAUCUCGGGGCUCAACCUCGAAAUUGCAUUGGAUACUGCGUUGCUUGAGGAUUGUAGAGGAGAGUGGAAUUCACGGUGUAGCAGUGAAAUGCGUAGAUAUCGUGAGGAAGACCAGUUGCGAAGGCGACUCUCUGGGCAAUUCCUGACACUGAGGCACGAAGGCCAGGGGAGCAAACGGGAUUAGAUACCCCGGUAGUCCUGGCAGUAAACGGUGCACGUUUGGUGUGGGCGGGUUCAGACCCCGUCCGUGCCGGAGCUAACGCGUUAAACGUGCCGCCUGGGAAGUACGGUCGCAAGAUUAAAACUCAAAGAA
rnacentral:rRNA from 1 species